rnacentral:rRNA from 1 species
GAUGAACGCUGGCGGCGUGCCUAAUACAUGCAAGUCGAGCGAACAGACGAGGAGCUUGCUCCUCUGACGUUAGCGGCGGACGGGUGAGUAACACGUGGAUAACCUACCUAUAAUACUUGGAUAACUUCGGGAAACCGGAUCUAAUACCGGAUAAUAUAUUGAACCGCAUGGUUCAAUAGUGAAUGACGGUUUUGCUGUCACUUUUAGAUGGUUCCGCGCCGCAUUAGCUAGUUGGUAAGGUAACGGCUUACCAAGGCGACGAUGCGUAGCCGACCUGAGAGGGUGAUCGGCCACACUGGAACUGAGACACGGUCCAGACUCCUACGGGAGGCAGCAGUAGGGAAUCUUCCGCAAUGGGCGAAAGCCUGACGGAGCAACGCCGCGUGAGUGAUGAAGGUCUUCGGAUCGUAAAACUCUGUUAUUAGGGAAGAACAAAUGUGUAAGUAACUAUGCACGUCUUGACGGUACCUAAUCAGAAAGCCACGGCUAACUACGUG